AAAACACCAAAACACACACCUUUGUGUGUGUUCUGGUCGUACAAAACACAGGAGCCAAGAAGGGCUCUCAAGCUCAAACCCUAACAAGCAUAAAAUCAACAAAUUGAAGGGGUAAAUCCAACCUAAAUCGAAAUCCAAGCACGAAUUCAUGAUCACCUCGAUGAAGGGAUCAUAAGUUUGACUCUUGACAAUCUAGAUGGAGGCUUGGGGAAAGAAGCGGGUCAAACGGAUCGUAUACGCGGAAAAGAGCAUAAUCCGGAUACUAGGUGAAGAUGGACCUAAUCCGGAUGAAGAUCAAGCGGCGAGCAAGAACCGAACACACGUUAAAUGAAGCUUCCGCGUCAAAUCUUGAUU